UUUGGCUUCAAUGAAGGGAUUGUUAAUCCCUUUUACCUUUGUCAAAAUCUCAUUUUCGGGGGAUUGAUCCCCCGUAGAGGUAGAUUGGAAGAGCCGGUAACAACCCUCAAGAAAAUAAUUUUCUUUGUUAAUUUUCUAACAAACAUAAUGAUCUUUUUGGUUAUUUGCGCAGUUAGAUAACAAGAAAAAUGAUUGCAUGGAUUAUGAUUAUUAAGGGUGGAAUUAACGAACUAACAUAGAUUUUAUUUUAUUCCUUAUUUGGAUUACCGGUACAAAGCAGUUACGGGUAAUUUAUUCGGGGACAAUACUACUAUGGUCCAUCUACAUUUGAGGUCUAUGGUACACCCAAAUUUUAACCAUUAGGAUCAUACAACAUCGGUUCAAACAUAUCAUGUAUUUAGAGGUGAUGACAAUAGUGGAGGUAUCGCGGAAGAGCAUUGCUAUAUCAAGCGAAUUUUUAUUGCGAAUUGCAUCACAAAGCACACAUUCUAGUGUUAUUAAAGCAAGUUUUUCCUGAUCUAAGAAUAUAUAAACCAUUA